UGCAUUUAAUACUUGCCUUGUACUGUUCUCCCACUGCCAGCGAACUACAAUGGAAGGUUUCAGGUAACAGGAUAGAAAAUUAGAAACCACCUACUUUCAAUACAACAAAAUAGAUUAGCCAAAAUAUCUCAUCUAAUAUUACUAUUUCUUUCUAGCACAUUGAAAAGCUACAUUAUCAUGUAAUUGCCUUAUAGGAAAUAUGUAGUUUCAAGAUAAUCCAACAUCCCUAAAGAGAAACAAUGAGAAACCAUUGGCGCAGUUGUUUCAGAACAAGCCUUCCAAUUCCAGCAAUAUUACGUAGGCUUGAAAGAAGAUUAGCAAGUCUGUACCAAAACGAACGCUGUUCUAAAUCUUUUUUUUUUCUUUUGAAAAAAAAAAAGCUAUUGUACCUUAUUCCUUCAUCAACAAAUAGCUAAGAAAAUUCCAGCUAAAAUGGUAUCAAUUUUUUUUAUGAUGACCAUCCAUCUCACCUCUGCUACUUGAAAGAUGAAUAGACAGAGACAAUAUUUAUGCGCAAAUAUAAUUCCUGUUUUUAUUUAGAUACAUUACCAUAUUCCCUGUUCAUCUGAAACAAAAAAGCAAACACCUCAUGGGUCAUGGCUUUUCCAAUGUAAAGGCAGCUUAAGCCCCAGCUACAAACAUGAAAUACCCACAAACCAAAAAGAGAUUCUUUAUCUUACAGCCUUUAAAUCUUCGUUUUUCUUCUGUUCAUCUUUUUUUUUUUUCUUGAGCCCAAGUUUUUAUGCUGGGCCGUAGUGAUGUUGCUGUUGCUGAUGCUGAGGGAGCCUGAAGCAGACCUGGGAUGCUGGAGACCGAACCGCCACGCCGUGCCAACAAAUACCACCCUUGCACAUUUCAUGGACAUGAAUAUGAUCUCGCGAAAUUGUGCAAGCAACUUUUCGAGAUAAGUCCCAGGCGAGCGACCCAAUCAAGAUUAAACCCACUGUGGCGGUGGACAAAAUCAACACAAAUCCACCGCUGAAACUCCGCCCAGUCACCAACCCAUACGCCUUAAUCCCUGCGAUCACUGCCACAUAGAUAGUCGUUAGAUUCCUUAUCACUGCAUCACACACCGUCAUCUCCCUCCUUUCCUUUCUAAAAUCUAUAAGCUAGCUCCUUCUUUCCUUGUCAAAUUGAUGAGAUAGAUGUUGGAGGAAAGGGAAAAGCGAGAAAGGAGUGGAAGAGUAUGUGGGUGCUCAGAGGAGCGAGCAGAAACCUUAAAGCUGGAGUGAGGGUUGGAAGGAUGGAUUUAUUGAGUGGUAUUGGGAAUGUCGGGUAUCUUAAUUACAGAUUAAAAAAUUACAGGAACGGUGUGGUCUGGCCCUCUCCUCUACUUUCCUAUGUGUCGAGAACGCUUAUGCUCAUCUCCCCAACUUAGAAUUGAAAGGAAAGUGAAAGCAGAAGUGGAAGGUAUAUGAUCUGUUUAACAAUGCAGCUAUCUGUUUGAGAAAAAUUUUACUUAAAACAUAAGUCAGG
rnacentral:lncRNA from 1 species